AGACUCCAACCUUGGCUACAACGUCCUGUGGUAGGAGUCGACUCUAAAAUUUAAGUCGUAUUCCAGAAAGGUCGAUUCUAUAAUAAUUGUAGCGUAUAAGUGCGGUUGUCCGUUUGUUUCGCGCACCCAAAGUCCCCUUGAGUGGGGCUAUAGUCCAAAGAAGGUGCUAGACCUGUACGGGUGGCGAGACGAUCGGUUGGUUGCUCCUUGGAGUCGGGUUGCCUGGGAUCGCAGCCCAAAGUUGGUGGUAGACCUCAUCUAAGGCUAAAUAUGGCCACGAAACCGAUAGCAAACAAGUACCGUGAGGGAAAGUUGCAAAGAACUUUGAAGAGAGAGUUCAAGAGGGCGUGAAACCGCUGAGAUUGAAACGGAUAGAGUUGACUUAACUCGGCUGCAUUCAUCCGGUCGGUCUAGCGGUCCAAUGGUUUUGACUUCCUCGAAGAGGGCGAAGCCGUCGGCAACUGUUGGGCAUUUGAUCGGUGUAUUUGCGGCUGGUAUGCGCUGAGAGCUUUGCGAUCGCGUGUUGACAAACGUGCAGUGGACCAUUCCUUCCGGGCGUGGAAACCUUCGCGCUUUGAGACAUGUCGGUUGUAAGGUUUUGAAGAUGGCGUCUCCGCUAUGGUGCGUCAGCUUUUUCGAGCUGUUGUGGCUGCUGGAUGGUCGCAUGCGACUAUCUGCAGUCAUCGAUGGUGCGAGAUGAGUGUGGACGCGGCGAGGCGUUGAUCUCGGUGUGAACGUCGACCACCUAUCCGACCCGUCUUGAAACACGGACCAAGGAGUCUAGCAUAUGCGCGAGUCAUUGGGUGAUAAACCUAAAGGCGUAAUGAAAGUAAAAGUCGCCCCGAUGCGACCGAUAUGGGAUCCAUGCGGUUUUUGAAUCCGCACGGCGCACCAUAGACCCGUCCCCGUUUGCUUGCAAUAGGGCGGAGGUAGAGCGCAUACGCUGGGACCCGAAAGAUGGUGAACUAUGCCUGAGCAGAAUGAAGCCAGAGGAAACUCUGGUGGAAGUCCGAAGCGGUUCUGACGUGCAAAUCGAUCGUCUGACUUGGGUAUAGGGGCGAAAGACUAAUCGAACCAUCUAGUAGCUGGUUCCCUCUGAAGUUUCCCCCAGGAUAGCUGGAGUUCGUGUUGUGCAGUUAUAUUCGGUAAAGCGAAUGAUUAGAGGAAUUGGGGACGAAACGACCUCAACCUAUUCUCAAACUUUCAAUGGGUAUGAAGUCCCGCUUGCUUGACGUUGCUGAAGCGUGGACAUUGAAUGUGAGCUCCAAGUGGGCCAUUUUUGGUAAGCAGAACUGGCGCUGUGGGAUGAACCAAACGUCGGGUUAAAGUGCCAAACUUCCCGCUCAUGAGACCCCAUGAAAGGCGUUGGUUGAUAUAGACAGCAGGACGGUGGCCAUGGAAGUCGGAAUCCGCUAAGGAGUGUGUAACAACUCACCUGCCGAAUCAACUAGCCCUGAAAAUGGAUGGCGCUUGAGCGUGAGACUUAUACCCGACCGUUGCUUAGCUUGUGCGUUUUUCGUAUGAGAGAUUCGCCUGGCCGCAACGAGUAAGAGGGUCUCAGUGGUUUGCGUUGAAGGCUUUGAGCGUAGGCCCGGCUGGAGCUUCCACUGGUGCAGAUCUUGGUGGUAGUAGCAAAUAUUCAAGUGAGAUCCUUGAAGACUGAAGUGGAGAAGGGUUCCACGUGAACAGCAGUUGAAUGUGGGUCAGUCGGCACUGUCCGCAAGAUCUCAAAAAGGGUCAGCUCCACCUAGGAGAUGAACCGCAGAAGACAUUCCGCACGAUAAGAUACAAGCGGAAACUCCGUUUAAGCAACGGAGAAACGGACAGGCCAACUGGUUCCAUAGUGAGCACCACUCCCAUGACGAAAACUCAAAGCCUCUAAAUCUCACUAUCAAAUGAACGGGUUUGAAGUGAAGAGGGCACUCCACGGUCGAAGUCCAGACU
rfam:Toxocara canis scaffold1187, whole genome shotgun sequence.